GUGGAUGUAGCUCAGUUGGUUAGAGCAUCGGUUUGUGGUACCGAGGGUCGUCGGUUCGAGCCCGAUCUUCCACCC
rnacentral:tRNA from 1 species